rnacentral:lncRNA from 1 species
UUUUCACUCAGCGCUCCUCCACUGUAGGUUCUGCACUUUCUGGAGUCUGCUGUGCUGACAUCGUAUCCUGACCAGUUCUACAAUCACCACGUUGCUUUCUCCCAGCCACCCCUUCAGACUUUGGAAAUGUUUAAUAUCUUGAUUUUUUUUUUCCUGUGAUCAGGAAAAAAAUCCCUGGCUUUGGUACUAGCUUUAUCUAGCACUAUACUAACAGUGUUUUCUCUUACGGUGCUGCUGUAAAUCACUCAUCCGGGUAACACACGGUAUUUGGGACAUACCUGUGUGCAAAAGUGACUCUCAUCCAUGUAAAAACUAAAAGCACAAUCCACACUGGAGUUGGCUUGGACAGCAGCGGUCAUCCCAAUCACCUGGUACGCCUGAGUUUGUAAGAGGUGUCAUCCCAAGAAGUCCUCACAUCGUUCUGGGAGAGACCCAGGGAAGAUCAUGAUGAUGAAACUGUGGGUAUAAAGGGGAAACACAGAGUUCAUAGAGACUGGCUCAUCA